rnacentral:lncRNA from 1 species
GGGGAUUAUUAGUGUACGUCCAGUUGCAUAUAUAUUACAUGAAUGUCGGAACAAUUGUGAUGAUGACGAGUUUCUUCCUUUAUUCGAGAACAAUCUAAUUGAUAUAUAAAUCUGUGAUUUUACUAUGUUCAUAACUUCGAUGAACUAAAGCAAGUUAUAUAUAUCGACCUGUAUUCAAUCAAAUUGGGUCUCUUCUUCUUCUUCUUCUUCUUCUUCUUUUGGUAUACAAUAGUCUAUCGAAUUCGUUGAUUACAUACUGUUGGCAUACGUGGACUAGUCUAUUUACAAAACUUUUACCCCAAUUUACACGUAUGUUUCUUUCUUAUGUUCAAUGUAUACAUGUAUAUAUUUUAAAUUGCACUAUAGUUCUGUAACUUUCUAUCCAGGCGUAUAAACGAAUCGUCGACAAGUGCGUACAUUUUUUAAAUCAAUAUUUCUGGUAUGUUCCAAUCUGUCCUUUACUAUUGACAACGAGUAUAUAUUACAUUUUCCCAAAUUAACCCUUGGAAAAAAUAUUUUUUUUUUGGGGUAUUAUUUACAUUUUUAUAAAUAAUAUUCUUUACACUAGAAAUGUUAUUUAUAAACAAGCGUAUGAGUUAAGUAAUGACUAGUAUAUUAUAUCACUUUCGGACACGCAAGACAGAGAUGUAUAUGAUACACCUGAUAGUUCAAAAUGGAAAGUUAUAAGUUAUCGGCCGUGUACACUGAUCAAUACCUACAGAAGUGAAACGAUGCAUGAACUUGCAAGCCCGACAGGAAAUCGCUUGAAUACCUGGACGUGUCACCUCACACCCCUCACAAUACCUUUGGGAGUAAUACCUUUAGCCAUGCUGGUGAUCAGAUGAGGGAAGAUACGAAUUUAUUUGAAUAAAGUUUAUUACUUUAUAGAAUUAUGAACGAAUUAGAUUUUCGAAAACAAUUUUCACGGAAC